GAUGAACGCUGGCUACAGGCUUAACACAUGCAAGUCGAGGGGAAACGACGGGGAAGCUUGCUUCCCCGGGCGUCGACCGGCGCACGGGUGAGUAACGCGUAUCCAACCUGCCUCUGACUGAGGGAUAACCCGUCGAAAGUCGGCCUAAUACCUCAUGGCAUCGUCUGCGGGCAUCCAACGACGAUUAAAGAUUUCAUCGGUCAGGGAUGGGGAUGCGUCUGAUUAGCUAGUUGGCGGGGUAACGGCCCACCAAGGCGACGAUCAGUAGGGGUUCUGAGAGGAAGGUCCCCCACAUUGGAACUGAGACACGGUCCAAACUCCUACGGGAGGCAGCAGUGAGGAAGAUUGGUCAAUGGGCGAGAGCCUGAACCAGCCAAGUAGCGUGCAGGAUGACGGCCCUAUGGGUUGUAAACUGCUUUUAUGCGGGGAUAAAGUGAGGGACGUGUCCUUCAUUGCAGGUACCGCAUGAAUAAGGACCGGCUAAUUCCGUG
rnacentral:rRNA from 1 species